CGGAAAUAUAAGGACGAAGGAGACACAUCCCGCUCUCUUGGAAACCCUAAGCCCACCACGGUCUCGUUCCUGCGCCGGCGGCAUCGGUGGGGAACUCUCAUUUUCAGCAGGGACUCCGCCCUUCUUUUUGUUCUCCGAUCAAGCCCACAUUCUUCUUGCCGCGCUUCCGUCGGGUUAUCAUAUUACAGGUCCUUCAAUUAGAGGCCCGAAGCUUAUGUUUUUGCUGGGUAAAACGAAUGUUGCAGUUCAGGCAAAUGGCAUUCUCGCUCUAUUGCUUGGGAGAAUAAUGAACAGCCACUGGAAUUCUCAAGUGCCACACAUGAAUAAACAAUGCAACUUUUGAGCACAACCAAACCAGUCACUAAUGCAUAUGGUGGUCCAAUAGGAGAUUCCUCAUCUGAAAUUUUUGGUGCAGAGAAAGCAGGCAGAAGAAACCAACGGGACUUGAUAUGUGGUAUUAGAGGGUCGAAGGUGAUUGCUGAUGAUGCUGAUAUGUCACCACCACCGCUACAUAAAGAAUGAGGAUUAGGUUGCUCGCCUCUCUCGGUUCUACCUUCCACCACUCAUCUCACUCUUUAAUAAACUCUCCCUGCCACUAGUUCGGCCUGUGGCAAACAGUUCUGGCCUUUGUUUGGCAUGUCCAAUGCCUUUGAUUUGGACAUAGGUGAUCCAAAUUUGAGUCUGAACAAUUCUCUUUUCCUGCACAAGGUUAUGGACAUUGAUCAUUGUCACAUCGUGCAUCAGUGGAAGUCUUGUUCACCGAAA